GUUGAGGAAAUAAGUAUAAGUAAUUUCACUCAGGCAUUUUCAUAGUCGCCUACACUGGGUCCUUCAUUCCUUCCGAAGCGAAGGACUUUUUUGGUUUAGUGUCCACGUGGAGAUGAUCUAGUGUCAUCACUCGCUCUUAAAGUGGCGGUUUCGUUGCAAAAGUUGGAAGUAUGUGGCAUUACAUUGAAACACGUGGCCCGUGUAACUGUCACAUGUUGACACCAUGAGGGCCAGGAGCUGCUUUUGAACUCCAGGGGAACAACCAAUGCGGUAAAAGGCUGCUGUAGCAACAUGGGCAGGGUUGCAUGACACCUGGGUCUACAUUCUCCUUUUCUAGUGGAGAUAAAUUACCCAUAAUUCAAGGAUUAGUGGUGUGUGAGAUGCUGUUUUCUACAUAAGUGUUUCUGCAGUACAUACUUUUAUAAAUAAAACCUUCUGCUUAACA